GAUGAAGAACGUAGCGAAAUGCGAUAAGUAAUGUGAAUUGCAGAAUUCAGUGAAUCAUCGAAUCUUUGAACGCACAUCGCGCCCCCUGGUAUUCCGGGGGGCAUGCCUGUCCGAGCGUCAUUACAACCCUCAAGCUCAGCUUGGUGUUGGGCCCCGCCGCCCCGGCGGGCCCUAAAGUCAGUGGCGGUGCCGUCCGGCUCCGAGCGUAGUAAUUCUUCUCGCUCUGGAGGUCCGGUCGUGUGCUCGCCAGCAACCCCCAAUUUUUUUCAGGUUGACCUCGGAUCAGGUAGGGAUACCCGCUGAACUUAAGCAUAUCAAUAAGCGGAGGA
rnacentral:misc_RNA from 1 species